GUCGAGGGGCAGCAUUUUAGUUUGCUUGCAAACUGAAGAUGGCGACCGGCGCACGGGUGAGUAACACGUAUCCAACCUGCCGAUAACUCCGGGAUAGCCUUUCGAAAGAAAGAUUAAUACCSGAUGGCAUACUAAUAUCGCAUGAUAUUUUUAUUAAAGAAUUUCGGUUAUCGAUGGGGAUGCGUUCCAUUAGUUUGUUGGCGGGGUAACGGCCCACCAAGACUACGAUGGAUAGGGGUUCUGAGAGGAAGGUCCCCCACAUUGGAACUGAGACACGGUCCAAACUCCUACGGGAGGCAGCAGUGAGGAAUAUUGGUCAAUGGGCGAGAGCCUGAACCAGCCAAGUAGCGUGAAGGAUGACUGCUCUAUGGGUCGUAAACUUCUUUUAUAUGGGAAUAAAGUAUUCCACGUGUGGAAUUUUGUAUGUACCAUAUGAAUAAGGAUCGGCUAACUCCGUGCCAGCAGCCGCGGUAAUACGGAGGAUCCGAGCGUUAUCCGGAUUUAUUGGGUUUAAAGGGAGCGUAGGUGGAUUGUUAAGUCAGUUGUGAAAGUUUGCGGCUCAACCGUAAAAUUGCAGUUGAAACUGGCAGUCUUGAGUACAGUAGAGGUGGGCGGAAUUCGUGGUGUAGCGGUGAAAUGCUUAGAUAUCACGAAGAACUCCGAUUGCGAAGGCAGCUCACUAGACUGUCACUGACACUGAUGCUCGAAAGUGUGGGUAUCAAACAGGAUUAGAUACCCUGGUAGUCCACACAGUAAACGAUGAAUACUCGCUGUUUGCGAUAUACAGUAAGCGGCCAAGCGAAAGCAUUAAGUAUUCCACCUGGGGAGUACGCCGGCAACGGUGAAACUCAAAGGAAUUGACGGGGGCCCGCACAAGCGGAGGAACAUGUGGU
rnacentral:rRNA from 1 species